GAUGAACGCUAGCUACAGGCUUAACACAUGCAAGUCGAGGGACCGGCGCACGGGUGAGUAACACGUAUCCAACCUGCCCUUUACUCGGGGAUAGCCUUUAGAAAGAAAGAUUAAUACCCGAUGUAAAGGAUGGGGAUGUGUUGCAUUAGGUUGUUGGUGAGGUAACGGCUCACCAAGCCUUCGAUGGAUAGGGGUUCUGAGAGGAAGGUCCCCCACAUUGGUACGGGGACAAAGUACAAACUCCUACGGGAGGCAGCGGUGAGGAAUAGUGGUAAAGGGGAGUCAGCCUGAACCAGCCAAGUAGCGUGAAGGAUGAAGGGUUGUGGGUCGUAACCUUCUUGUACAUAAGGAUAUGUGUUCGAUCAAUAAGGAUCUACUAAGUCCGUGCCAGCCGCCGCGGUAAUAC
rnacentral:rRNA from 1 species